UUCUGAGAGGAAGGUCCCCCACAUUGGAACUGAGACACGGUCCAAACUCCUACGGGAGGCAGCAGUGAGGAAUAUUGGUCAAUGGGCGAGAGCCUGAACCAGCCAAGUAGCGUGCAGGAUGACGGCCCUAUGGGUUGUAAACUGCUUUUAUAAGGGAAUAAAGUGAGCCUCGUGAGGCUUUUUGCAUGUACCUUAUGAAUAAGGACCGGCUAAUUCCGUGCCAGCAGCCGCGGUAAUACGGAAGGUCCGGGCGUUAUCCGGAUUUAUUGGGUUUAAAGGGAGCGUAGGCCGGAGAUUAAGCGUGUUGUGAAAUGUAGAUGCUCAACAUCUGCACUGCAGCGCGAACUGGUUUCCUUGAGUACGCACAAAGUGGGCGGAAUUCGUGGUGUAGCGGUGAAAUGCUUAGAUAUCACGAAGAACUCCGAUUGCGAAGGCAGCUCACUGGAGCGCAACUGACGCUGAAGCUCGAAAGUGCGGGUAUCGAACAGGAUUAGAUACCCUGGUAGUCCGCACGGUAAACGAUGGAUGCCCGCUGUUGGUCUGAAUAGGUCAGCGGCCAAGCGAAAGCAUUAAGCAUCCCACCUGGGGAGUA
rnacentral:rRNA from 1 species